CAGUGGAAAAGUAAACAUGUCCACAAUAGGGAUUAGUAAGAGGCGAUUGGAGGAUUGGUGGAAGUAGGGAAACGACAAAAAACGGAGACGUACAAAAGCGCAGUUCGCAAUAGGAGACCAGAAAAUUUGGUUGGGGGAGUUUAUAGUGGUUUUUUUUCUUUUUUCAUUGUUUAACCUAGGUAGGACAUUAGGCAAUAUAAUAGCAAGAGCUCAUAACAUCCAUCCCAUCCAUCCACCCAUCCGGCGAUCGUUCAGAGGCAAGAAAGAUAGCCAUCUGAUCUGGUAAGAAGCACCUAAUCUUGCCUCUGUUUUCGGCUGCUUGAUAUACCUUACCUUAACAGAAAUUGAUGGAAGCCUGGCUUCCAUCAAUGCCGCGGCUGCAUUCAGUCUAACUCAGCGCCAAGGCCGGACGCCACCUGUUUCUGUCAAACUGAUGGUCUAUUAGGCACCUGAAAACAGUGGCAAGAGCAGAUGCCUCUUAUAGAACUAGGCUCUCUUUCCGGUCUCUGAAGGACCAUAUUGCUCCCUCAUAUUUAUUUUCCAGCUACAAUUUCAUGAAAGGAUCUUCAGGCUGCAACCGGCUGUCCCGCCACGUCACCAAAAUCACUUCAUCGAACGUCAUGGAAUGCCUGAAUGACUGUCACGCAAAGAGAAGAUGUCUGCCAAGGGUCUGUCUACCUUUGUGCACAUGUGAACGCAUACCUCACCCCUUAGGGUAACACCCUCAAUGGGAGGUCUACAAGAGAAUAAAAGUCGAGCUGACGUGGGUUA